GCGGGGGUUGCCGAGCAUGGAAAAGGCGCAGGACUUAGGAUCCUGUCCCGUAGGGGUUCGCGAGUUCGAAUCUCGCCCCCCGCAC
rnacentral:tRNA from 1 species